rnacentral:rRNA from 1 species
CGUAGGUGAACCUGCGGAAGGAUCAUUACUGAUUUGCUUAAUUGCACCACAUGUGUUUUUCUUUGAAACAAACUUGCUUUGGCGGUGGGCCCAGCCUGCCGCCAGAGGUCUAAACUUACAACCAAUUUUUUAUCAACUUGUCACACCAGAUUAUUACUAAUAGUCAAAACUUUCAACAACGGAUCUCUUGGUUCUCGCAUCGAUGAAGAACGCAGCGAAAUGCGAUACGUAAUAUGAAUUGCAGAUAUUCGUGAAUCAUCGAAUCUUUGAACGCACAUUGCGCCCUCUGGUAUUCCGGAGGGCAUGCCUGUUUGAGCGUCGUUUCUCCCUCAAACCGCUGGGUUUGGUGUUGAGCAAUACGACUUGGGUUUGCUUGAAAGACGGUAGUGGUAAGGCGGGAUCGCUUUGACAAUGGCUUAGGUCUAACCAAAAACAUUGCUUGCGGCGGUAACGUCUACUACGUAUAUCUUCAAACUUUGACCUCAAAUCAGGUAGGACUACCCGC